UACGUAGGGUGCGAGCGUUGUCCGGAAUUAUUGGGCGUAAAGAGCUCGUAGGCGGUGUGUCGCGUCGGCCGUGAAAACCUGGGGCUUAACUCUGGGCGUGCGGUCGAUACGGGCAUCAUUAGAGUUCGGCAGGGGAGACUGGAAUUCCUGGUGUAGCGGUGAAAUGCGCAGAUAUCAGGAGGAACACCGGUGGCGAAGGCGGGUCUCUGGGCCGAUACUGACGCUGAGGAGCGAAAGCAUGGGUAGCGAACAGG
rnacentral:rRNA from 1 species